UCUAAUCUCCCACCCAAUCUCUUACUAAAAAAUUUCACACGGGAACAGACGCCGGACUCUAUCAGCUAUCCUUUCCUCUCUCAUAUCGCUCCCCCCUUUUCUCUUAAUCCUUCCUCAAACUGAUCUAAUCAUCCAGUUGUCUGGGUGAAUACCUCUCUCUCUCUCUCUCUCUCUCUCUCAAACAUGAAAGAGGACAUUUGAGUGACCCUUUGGGAGAGAUGGCACGAACUUUCGAUAUUGAAGCUAUUUGGACAGCCACUUCACCUGCACUUGCUGUGUUUACAAGCCUUCUUCAAGAUGAGUAGGAAAAUGAGCACUUCUUCGGCUUCAAAAGAUGAACCUGCGAAACAAGUGAAGAGCGCAAUUCGGUUAAAGAGCAGUAGCAAGUCUCAUGUAGCUUUCAAGAAGGAACAAAUGCUCUACAUCCUUACCACACCUUUGCUAUCGCAAGAAUAUAGCGAUUGAAGAGAGCUACCACUCAGCUGCUUCCAGAAUGUUUUGUGGAAUUUCUAACAAAGGAAAGCCCCUUUUAGUAGCGGUUUCUGUUCUGAUAAUGAUGGAUUCGAAGGGAAAUAUGUGGACUGUAUAUGUAAGCCCCCUUGAAUCACACCUAUGAAAACUAUUUGAAGAAAAAUAUGUGCACUGGAACACCUUACACCUCACCUAAAUUCCUCCAAUAGUUGUUCAGGUUUUUGCUGCUUGGUUUAUAUGAACAUUCGGCUAUGUAAUGUUAUGAGAUCAACAAUAUUAUUGUCUACACAAGCAAUUACUUUCUUCAAUAAUCUGCUAAAUCCCGCAGCAAAGCGCGGGCAUACUUACUAGUA